CUCUUAUCCUUUCAAGCUCUUCAAAAGACUUAAGUUUUCUUAGGAUCCAGGGUUUACAUCUUUAUCCAAAAUGGGUGUCAUGGUUGGGGCUAUUUCUAGUGGACAGAUAGCCGAAUACAUUGGUCGAAAAGGAGAGAUUAAGGUUUUGAAGUUCUUGGGAUUUAUGUGGAACCCUCUCUCAUGGGUCAUGGAAGCUGCAGCUAUAACGACUGUUACUUUAGCUAACGGAGGAGUGAGUUUUUAGUAUCUUAAUUUAAUUUAUUGAUAAUGAGAAAUGGAAAUAUUUAUGCUAACUGUUUUUAAUUUCCUUCAAAAAAAAUUUUGGGUUCUUUUCCAUAUUUUGAUUGCUGCCAUCAAUUUAUCCACCCACCCAUAGACGCUUUCGAAGCGUAAGAACUUUCGAAUUUUCCGCUUUUAACGAGGUAGCGGAGUACGACGAUUUGAAGAAGAGUAUAGUAAGCUACCUUAUAAAACGAGAACCUCGCAUUGCUCACUGCAGCUUUCUGUUUGUUAGUGUUUGAGACCAGGGAUUUGUUCAGGAGCAGAAGGUUCACGUUGAUGCCUAUGACAAUUGUAAGAAGGCGGAAAAGGCAGGGAAGAUUUUCGAAGUACAGGGACUUGUAUGUAUGCCUUUGAUGAACUGAAUUUUAAUCUUUUCACAUGGGUGAGCAAUAGUUAAAUCUAGAGGAGGUUGGGGCAUUACACCUUCCAAGACAACCAAUUCUUUCAAUUUUUUUUUUCUUUUUUACAAAGGAUGAUCAAUGUAAUAGUUAAAUUUCUCACUUUCUUUGUGUUUGGAGCCAAGAUGUAUAUAUAAACGUACAAUAUAUUAAGAUGUCCUUUGAUUAUGAAUGGAAGUUAUUAGUAUUCAUUGUGCUAUGAAA